rnacentral:lncRNA from 1 species
CAACGACAACAACGGAGAUGAUAAUACCAACGGAAACAGGAAGAAACGGACUAUAAAAGCUAUCGCGUUCGCCUUACCGCUGAGGAUAUUGCUGUUAGCAGGGUACAGCACAAGAUCAUGACUAAACGCAAGCGGGACGUUGGCCGUGGAAACAACAAAUUCGCAAGGUGGCGACGGUAACGACGAAUACGCAGGCAUACGCAGAAUUGCAGUCUUUUCACCGUAAUCUAGGUACGGCAAGCGUUGACUGUGUCGUUGCGUGUGCGCUUGUGAGCUUUAUGGGAGAGGUAUUUUGUAGGUGAGACGAAAGAGAGAAACGGGGCAGACGAGGGAAGUAAUAACGAUGUGAUGGUAAAAAUAUGUCCGUCGUGGUGGAACAUACUGAUGAUGAUGAUUAUGCUGAGAACAACAAUGAUAAUGAUAAUUACUAUUAUUAUUAGUACCAUUAUUAUAUAUCUUGAGAAUACCAUAAGUGCGCCCGCGCGAGUGCGUUAAAAAAGAACUAUAUAUAUUAUGCAGAGAAGCUCGGCGACUUGCCGAAGAAUGUCGGCAGAAGUCCAAUAGGCAGAGAAGUCAGUUGAGAAGAGCCAAAACAAUUAAGGAAAUAACUGAGAUCGAAAAUUAACAUCUACAAAGGGGGACAAGGAAGAAUCCAGUAACAAUGCUAAAAAGAAAUCGGCGUAGCCAGUCACAAAGUCACCCUUUUUGACUGAGUCGCUUGAUAUCAUCGUACUUGACUAUAUUAACAACGUACAACUACAAGAAGGAA